rnacentral:ribozyme from 1 species
AAAAUGAGGGAGCAAAUAAAAAACAAAACAAAAAACGUCACCGAAGCAAACAACUCGAUAAUACAAAUUCCGUAUAAAAACGUUUCUAUUUUUUUACUUUUUUCUUUU